rnacentral:tRNA from 1 species
GUUUAUCUAGUUUAAAAAAAAUAUUUAUUUGUCAAGUAAAAGAUACAGUGUGAUAGAGU